UUUCCUAAGAAAAGACAGGAAGCAUCCUCAGGAAGCGCCUGCUUCUCUCGUUUUCCAUCGAGAAAGAGGAAUGGCUCAAAUAUUUAUCAAGGAUUUCACAGGAUUAAGGCGUAUGAAAUGGGGCUGACCUUCUCAGAGGCCGAAGGACUUCGACUCCAUGAGAGGGCGAGAAACGUGUUUCGGGGGAAUUUAAAAAGUCAAUUAGUAUUUUGCUUUGUCAGGUGUAGAGUCCAGGCCCGGGGAAGAGCGGCAGCCAAGCGAGGCCAUAAAGGACGUUGCUAUGGUUUCCACGCACGUCGUCUCCCUCAGCCUGUUUCUUUGCGCGGCGCUGGCGAUUCCGUAGUUUCCGCUUCCGGUAGUGAGGAGGCCAGGCUCUACAGAGUGAAGGUUUAAAUCCAAGGUCAUGGCAAAACAUCUGAAGUUCAUCGCCAGGACUGUGAUGGUACAGGAAGGGAACGUGGAAAGUGCAUACAGGAUCCUAAA